AUGGCGAUGCUGAAGAAGAACACGAGCGCCCUGUCCUGCUUCGUGGCCGCCCUCAUGGUGGUCAUGGCUGCCACCCUUCUUCUCUCCUCAUGCCGUGCCCACGAAAAGAUGGAUAAACCCCGUGCUUUUCCCCUGCCGGCUUCGUGCUACUCCAAACACUUCCCAAACUGCAUCGACGAGCGGUGCAAGAAGUUUUGCGGCGGCGGCGACAUGCCGCUGAUCCCCGGGGCUUUCUGCAAUGACGACAACAACUGUUGUUGUCCCAUUUAG
rnacentral:rRNA from 1 species